GAAAAUUCCCCUCCUUCUGCAGUUCAUGGUGUUCUUCUAAACUAUUUAUAAAUAGGUCUACUGUAGCCAGUGUUUGCAUUUGGACUGCUUCACUGUUCUCGUUUUCAAGGCUUCUCUUAGAUCUGACAGUAAAGGUCAUGUUGACUCCCCUCAUCUGAAAUGAAGAGGGGAAGAAAAUUAACCCUGUAGUCAGGUGGCUCAAAGGCAGUAAUUCCCAUCAACGUGAGCAAGUUCUCCGUCGUGCGUGGCUGGGGCAGAGCGCCGGACCCACUCUCCCUUUUGCUCCAUUUUCGUUUCCCUGCCCUCUCCAUUAGCUGCUGACAGUUUUAGCUUCCUACGUCCAUUUAAAGAGAUUCCCCCCGCACAUCAUCUGGGAUUCAUGAACUGCAGAGAUCUGGCUAUUUUCAACUUUAAGCCACAGUUAAUCCAUGACCUUAGUGCUUUUGUCUCCAGGUCUGAAUUAUGUAAGUAUUACAGAACAAAGAUUGAAAUGAACUACUCUUGGUUUUAUUUUACCACUACAGUCACCUGAUUGGCUUUUCUAUUUCCACUAACUAGAAUAAUAGAGUGAAUUUAAUUCCUUUAUGAAAAGACCAUAAGGGUGUUUUUGUUGUUGUUGUUGCUUGUGGGUUAGUUUUGUUGUUGUUUUGUGUUUUUUUGGUCAGUGUGGUGAGGCCAAAUAAGAAAUAUUUCUACAGGGAAUGUAAAAAUGGUGGAAAAUAGUAACUGUCUGCUUUUCUGGCUGUUCAGGAUUCCUGCCAAGUGGACACAAAGACAACUGAAGCAGGAAUGUACCCCGUACUCUGCAGUGCCCACUGCAAUGUCACUGCAAGGGCAUCCUACUUCCCACAUGCUUCAGAAACACCAGAUACUUUAACUGUGCUUCUCAAAAUAUGCUCAAGAAAUGUGUGUGCACAUUGCCUAUCCUUCCCCUCCUCUGUGCACUGAAUAUUUUUGGUGUAGGAGAGUUCAGUAACGGAAGCGUAAACCUUCUGUUUACAUCUAUAAACAAGAUAAGGCAGGACUCAGAUACCUCUUUUCUUGGAGCAGCUCAGCAGAAGAACAGAAAGAUGUCAUUUCUGGCAUGGAUCACCCAGCGGCACGUCCCUGGAAGAUGGACUGGUGCUCAGGUGCUGAGGUUUCAGGUCAGACAGAACCCAUGGGGAUGCUUCUUCAUGCACCAGCCUGGCUCCAUCCAGCUCGCCAGCACCAAAAGGAGGCAUCCGACCCCCCCACGGCACAGGUACAUGCGGCCACAUCACCCCAUGCCAGCUCCUGAGCUCCUUGACCCCAACCCCAGAGCUAAAUUUGCUGAUUAUCUGGUAGAAAACUGAGCAAGGAAGUAAAGCUUUGAUAGAUUUUUUUUUUGCACCAGCUCUUGCCAAUGCCCAACCUGGUGCGAGGGGGUGGUGAGGCUGGGACCAGUGGGAUGUGGGGUGCUUGUGAAAUCCCUUACCCUGGGGGCACUCUGAUAAAACAGCAGACCAUUUCCCAACACCCCCCUGAUGGGAGGGCGAGGAAAUGAGUUAGGGCUGCAUCCCUCACCCAGGACACCGCAGGAUGAGCUCCACGUAAGCCUCUUCCCCUCCCCUCUGACUCAGCUCCCGUGCUAUGCUCGGCUUUUCACUCUUUCCUCAGGCAACUCCGCUGCUUGUCCUGCUCCUGCUGACUCUUUCGCUGACUGGCAGCAGCCUGGUGUUGCUCAACGCUCCCAGUACGUGUCUGUGCCCACCUGAGUGCAGGAUACGGCCUCCCCCUGCCCAUCACAACGGGGGCCAUCGCCCACUCUCCAUCACACCACAUCCCUCCACAUGUGAAGCCUAAAAGUUUUGGGGCACGUGUAGAAAUGGUGAGAAGGUGAUGGAACACCGUCAGGGGUUCGAUAACACGUGAUAUGCUCCCAGCAGACCAGCACGACAGCUCAGGGAGCAGAUACUGCAACGUGUUAAGUCAUUUAUUUGAUGAUGAGGCAGAGAAAGCCAAGAGGACUAGCCUAGAGGAAAGCCUCAUUGCUAUGUGGUGAUGUUUCAAAAUUCCCCUUUUUGUUCUUCCAGCAGCCCAAGAACCUUGUUGGCUUUUCAGACGUGAUCAGGACACUGCUCAGCAUGGGACGGGUGGGGAUGCCACACUUCCAUGACGAGCCAGGAGAGGCCAUGCUAGCCAGGGUUUGCACAGUAGCCCCAGCAGGCUUUGCAGAUGGAAGCUGUUUUAGGAUAAUUUGGUGUCUUUCUAUUCUGCAGAUUUCUUAACGUGUGUGUGAGCAAGCAAUUGGCUGCUGGGACAGGAAGAUGUGACCGUGCAGGCCCUUUGCAGCACUGAAAGCAAACCUGGUGCAGGUUUGUUCACAAGCUGGUGAGUGCUUGAAGAUCCACCCAUGCUUGGUUAUCCUGAAGAGCUGCUCCUGGCAGCAGGUGACACCUACCAGGAGAGACACUUCCCCAUUCCUCCGUACCCGUGGCAGACAUCUCUGCUCCCUAGAGGCUGUGACCAUCACGCAGCCGCAUAAAUAAAGGUGGAUGCAGCGAGACCCAGCACCAUCAGAGCUGACCGCACACGAGGCAACUCACGUCUGGAAGCAGUCAGGCUCUGCUGAGCCCCAGAAGGCACAUGGGUGAGUUACCUUAUCGUAAGCAGCCUAGACUUAAAUUAAACAUGGUUUAUAAGCAGAGGCAUAACGGAGGCAUAUUGGGAGGUUAUGUGCCAUUAUAGGGUGCCCUUGGGAUAUGCUCAUGUGGGUCUCCACCAAUGUGGAGAUCCUGUACUGUGCUCAGUUGUGGGGCUGCUGAGGAGCCCUCCUUGUCCAGCAGCUACAGACGGAUGGCUUUGUGGGUGAUGAUUUGCUUACAUGGGCUUCUGCAUUCAUUGUAUAGAAUAAAUAAUUUACCUCUAAUGUUUGGGAUUUGUAGGGCUUCAGCAGUUAAUUUAGAAGAGCCAGGAGGUGCUGUUUUGUCUAGAAGUGAAUUCUGAACUUAUUAUCUUAAAGUAAAUUCCCUUUCUGCAGGAAGUGCUGGUGUUGCUGCUCUUUGUCCCAGAACUGAGUGAAGUAAAAAAAAAAAAAAAAAAAAAAAAACCAAAAAACUGACAUUUUCUGUGGAAGAGCAAGUCAAGCUCUCAACCAUCUCUUUUCUUUUGCCUUGCUAUAGGCUUUAAGUUUCAUAGCAUCCUUCCCCAUCAAGGGGAAAAAAUCUACACAGGUUUGACAAAGGGCAGAAAACAAUGUUGAGUGGCACUUAGCUCUAAAGGAUGUCUUAAUUUUUUAUGGAAAUUUUCCAAAUUGUAAAACAAGACACCAACCGCCUUAGAUAAGGAAAUAAUCUCUCUUUUCCCACGGGGUGCUGAAAACUGCCCGGCGUAAAAAUAACCCUGUCCCAAGUUGCUUCAAGUGCUUCGUAUCUGCAAAACGCAGGAGACACCGAAUGCUAUAAAAAGUGCCACACGUGGGCUUCUCCGUGUCCGCUUCUUUGAGCUGUCUUAAAAAAAGAAAGAAAAAGGCCAAGUUGGGUAAGAAAAGCCCUCUUAGCUCCCGGGGGGGGGGGGGAGAUGAGGUUCUCCCUGCCCCCCGAGCCCCCCGCCCGCCCCGUCCAGGCUCGGAGCCGCGGUGCGGGCUUUUCUCGGCGAAACCCUGCGAUUCCGGCGUUCCUCGGGAAUGAAAGAAAGUGAUAUGUUGGAGAGGGGAAAGAGGGGGCGUGGGGGUGGGAGGAGGAAGGGCUGUCCUUGAUCCUCCAGGGCGGGCUCUUUUCUCCUUGCUUGAUCUAUGGAGCCCGCCCCCUUAAAUUGGCUCCCGGGAGCGCCCCGUCCACCAGCCCGACGGGGGGAGAGGAGGAAAGGAAGGGAGGGAGGGAGAAGCAGCAGGCAGGCAGGCGGCCGGUUCCCCCGGCCCGGCCCGGCGGUCCCGGCCCCAUGCGCGGCCCCAAAAGCCCCGCGCCCCGCCGGCCCGCCCGCCCCUAACGCCGCCCGGCUCCGGCAGCGCACCGGGGGGCGGCGGUGGGGGGGGGCAAGAAAAAAAAAAUAAAUAAAUAAACGAAGGGAGAGGGAAAAAAGAGGAGGAGAAGAGCCCGACCGCCGCAGGGGGAAGGCUGCGCUCCUCU
ensembl:lncRNA